rnacentral:rRNA from 1 species
UAGGGAAUAUUGGUAAUGUGCGAAAGCGCGAACCAGCAACGCCGCGUGCACGAUGAAGGCCUUCGGGUUGUAAAGUGCUUUUAGAGAGGAUGAGGAAGGACAGUACUUUCUGAAUAAGCCUCGGCUAACUACGUGCCAGCAGCCGCGGUAAAACGUAGGAGGCUAGCGUUAUCCGGAUUUACUGGGCGUAAAGCGCGUGCAGGUGGUUUCGUAAGUUGGAUGUGAAAGCUCCUGGCUUAACUGGGAGAGGUCGUUCAAAACUGCGAGGCUUGAGAGUGGUAGAGGGAGGUGGAAUGCCGGGUGUAGCGGUGAAAUGCGGAGAUAGCCGGAGGAACACCAGUGGCGAAGGCGGCCUCCUGGACCAUU